rnacentral:tRNA from 4 species
GGUGGCGUAGCUCAGUCGGUAGAGCAAGCGGCUCAUAUCCGCUCGGUCAGGGGUUCAAGUCCCUUCGCCACUA